GUCUUUAAGAUUUUAAUUUAAAGUCUAAUCUGCCCACUGAAAUAUUAAAUGGCUGCAGAAUUUUUUACUGUACAAAGGUAGCAUAAUAAUUUGUUUUUUAAUUAAAAACUUGUAUGAAAGAUUAGAUGAAAUAUUAACUGUUUCAAUUAAAUUUAUUUUAAAUUUUUUAUUUUUGUAAAAAAACUAAAAUAUUUAUUAAAGACGAUAAGACCCUAUAGAAUUUUAUUUAAUUAAAUUUUAUAUAUAUUUUUAAUUAAAUUUUAUUGGGGUAAUAAAAAAAUUAAAAUAAUUUUUUUUUAAAAAUACAUUUUAAUUGAAAGAUUUUUCUUAAUUUUUAGAAAUAAAAAUUAAUUACCUUAGGGAUAACAGCAUAAUAUUUUUUUAAAGACCAUAUUAAUAAAAAAGAUUAU
rnacentral:rRNA from 1 species